CUUCUGUGAAACCAAAACCAAUGAAAGCUUUUUGGACCAUUUAACAGGAGUUGAGACUGAAAAGAUGAAAAAUUAUUUCGGAGAUGGUGAUGGUAUUGCAAGGUCAACACUUAAAAACGUGAAUCGUGAAAUUCAUUUUUCCAACUGAAGUAUGAAAUGUAUGUGAUGGCUGCACUUCUGCUUUGUGACAUCACUACGAGCGAUUGGAUUGCUGAUACUGAUACGACUGAUAAAAUUUGAAUACACUUGAAGGCAUAACUAAAUUGGCUGUCUUAAUCUUGGCUAACAAAACACACGGCAUAAUAUUGAGACUUUCAUGUAGUAUAUAAUACGAAUUCUUAAAGCGUAUAUGUGGGUAACAAAUAGUAAACGAACGACAACUUCUUGCAGCCAGAUUGCAAAGAAAUUGAUUGUGAU